GAGGAUAGAGGUUGAGAAUCUGUCACCAACGCGCCACUUAGCUAGUGGGUCGAGAAAUGCGAGCGACAUCUGGCGGUCCCGCCUAUCCUU
rnacentral:ncRNA from 18 species